AAAAUGAAAAUGUGACGGGAAGCUCCUCUGCGAUCCUAUCCUGCUCUUACAGUGACAAACAAACUGAAGUCAAGACAAGAAAAGACUCAAUGACAACAGGAAUGAGACAUUAUUCAGAUAAAUGAUUCACUUGAGAAUCCAGAAUUUUCUCAGAGGAGUUUAAGAAAGGAAGAAUCAUUCUCAUACUCAUUUGCUGCUUCAUCUGUAUACUUUCAGUGCUCAUAACCAAAGUAUCUCUGCAGGACACAGUAGAGGCUAUUAUUGGUGGUUCUGUUGUUCUGCCAUGUUCUUCAACUGAACAUUAUCUUAAACUUCAAGACAUUAUUGUGCACUGGAGACACAAUGGCAGCAAAAUUGUGUAUGAUAUAGUCAAGGGUGAAGAUUCAGUAGUGUUACAGGACCAAGAGUACAAAAACAGAGCUGAAAGUUUCCCGCCUGAGUAUCUGAGACGAAACUUCUCCAUCAAACUCAACAAUCUUGAACAUAUUCAUGCAGGAAAAUACAUCUGUCACAUCACGCCUUCAUCUGAACAGAAGACUGUAGAGCUGAUCAUCAACGAAUCAACAGCAGAAACAGGAAACGAAUCCACUAAUCAAGGAAACCGAGGAGAAGAUACAGUGACAUCACCAUCGUUGCUCUGUGUUUACAUUGUAGUGGCUGUAGUACUCAAAAAUUUUAUUGUGAUUUAAUCGUAGCACCCAUUAUGCAUCU